UAGACUGUUGUGCAUCAUUUAUUUAUGUCGUGAAAGUUUCGUCCCUCUGUUUCCCUAUUUCUAAUCUCCAAUUCUCCAGUCACUUCCUGUACAACAUGAAUGGUUAUCUCCUCUACUUCUUCUACUUCUUUUUCUGUUUUGCUUUUCUAUCUUUGCUUUUGCCUUCAAUUCUCGUUUGGACAUGAAAAACACAUACUAUGGCUUAUUUACAUGAAGUUAAACACAUAUAAGCUCUCUCCUCGUAAUAUAAUACCUCUAGGAUUUAAUGUAAAAGAAAAAGGGAAAAAUGAAAAUCUUAGGCAUGAUGACAUUUAGCUUAAUAUUGUUUUCAUUAGAUUAUUAUCAUUUGAAUAACUUUUGUAUACUUCUUUAUUUUUUUGGCUAUGAUUUUGGCAUCGAUAUGAAGAUUGCCUGAUCAGAUGUUGUUGCUUCACAUGGGAAAGAAAAGCUGGGCAGAGAGUUGUCAAGGUUCAGUCUUAAUUAUGUGAAAUGCCCCUCUCAACGUCACGGACACAUGGUGAACGCGUGUUUGUGUACUUCAGUAAUUACAUUGAAAAUAUAUUGAACAAAGACAAAUAUAUGUUUUUAAAUAUCUAGCAUUUAAUUCCUUGAGUAUAGCUCAUCCAAUAGAAAAGUGUUCAAUUCUUUGUUUGUUUAUGCAUAUAUAAAACCAAGAGUAGAAAUUAAAAACCUGGCCAAACUGUAAUGUAUUUGUAAUUGUUGUAGUCAAUACACACUUGGUGAAUUGACCAAAUUUGGUACAUAUCCUCGCCCAUACUCAGAUCGUGUCGGAUCGUUGUAAAGUGGUGGCCAUCUCUUUACCAUCAUCUGCCUUGGGACACAAGGAGGGCUGCACUUCUCCAUCACUUCAGUAUGUUUGCGCAAAGGCGAGACUGGCUCAGCAUUUGGAUUGCUGGUCACCUCAUCUGUUGUUCAAUCUUCUGUUCGUUGUUCUUAAACUCAAGUCAAUUCAUGGAAUCACAAGAAAGAGCAUAAAUGGUCAGAAACAUGCAAUCUCUAUUUCACAAUCAGGAAAUCAGGGAGGCAAUGCUAUCAAAAGGAAAUAAGAUCAAACGCAGCUGAUAUGGGAAAGUCAGUUCGUAAAUUAAGGAGAGUCUAUGGAGAAAGAGAUCAGAAAAUUUUGAUGAUGGAUCAAUCAAGCCGUGUCGCAAAUCACUCCUAUAUAUCAGGAACGCAAGAAGGAAAGAAGAUCAUUGAAUUCAGCCUUCCUCGUGAGCUGGAUUCAGAGGCAACCCUUAGGUCAAAUCUCUUUGAAUAAUUUUGCCUCAAUCAAUGGUCAAUCUACAGCGGCUAGUUCAAGAGAAGAUUUCAAGACCUCAAGUCAUUCCUAUAAGAAGGCUGGAAGACAGAAGAAAAGGUUACACAACUUAGUACAUGUUUCUAUACUUUUCUAGUUCUUCGUACAAACACUGUAUUCUUGAAUUUAUAAGUGUCAUAAAAGAUAGCAAGAGUUAGAAAAUAAAAUAAGAGUUGUAUCAAGCAUAGACGAACACUGUUGCUGAAUAUCGUUAGUGGUGAACGAACAAAAACCACAACUGUUGUAACUACUCAAUAUUGAAGAUCAAAGAAAACCCUUGUAACCCAAGAAAACUGGAUGUAGGUACCAUACACAAUUGGGACAAAGGGAAGAUUCUUGUGUACUGUGGCAAAGGGAAGUCAAAGCGAACUUGCCAUGGAGGUGGUGAAACUGUCGCCAUUGUCUUCUUUUCCUUUUAUCACACCAUUAUUUUCAACUAUAAAACCAGACUCUUUUGAGUAAGAGUAAGAUUUUAUCCAA